rnacentral:rRNA from 1 species
GCUGGCGGCAGGCCUAACACAUGCAAGUCGAGCGCACCCUUCGGGGCGAGCGGCGGACGGGUUAGUAACGCGUGGGAACAUACCCUUCACUAUGGAAUAGCCUCGGGAAACUGAGAGUAAUACCAUAUACGCCCUUCGGGGGAAAGAUUUAUCGGUGAAGGAUUGGCCCGCGUAAGAUUAGAUAGUUGGUGGGGUAAUGGCCUACCAAGUCUACGAUCUUUAGCUGGUUUUAGAGGAUGAUCAGCAACACUGGGACUGAGACACGGCCCAGACUCCUACGGGAGGCAGCAGUGGGGAAUCUUAGACAAUGGGCGCAAGCCUGAUCUAGCCAUGCCGCGUGUGUGAUGAAGGCCUUAGGGUCGUAAAGCACUUUCGCUAGGGAUGAUAAUGACAGUACCUAGUAAAGAAACCCCGGCUAACUCCGUGCCAGCAGCCGCGGUAAUACGGAGGGGGUUAGCGUUGUUCGGAAUUACUGGGCGUAAAGCGUACGUAGGCGGAUCAGAAAGUAUAGGGUGAAAUCCCGAGGCUCAACCUCGGAACUGCCUUGUAAACUCCUGGUCUUGAGUUCGAGAGAGGUGAGUGGAAUUCCAAGUGUAGAGGUGAAAUUCGUAGAUAUUUGGAGGAACACCAGUGGCGAAGGCGGCUCACUGGCUCGAUACUGACGCUGAGGUACGAAAGUGUGGGGAGCAAACAGGAUUAGAUACCCUGGUAGUCCACACCGUAAACGAUGAAUGCCAGUCGUCGGGCAGUAUACUGUUCGGUGACACACCUAACGGAUUAAGCAUCC